rnacentral:rRNA from 1 species
UGGGGAAUAUUGCACAAUGGGCGAAAGCCUGAUGCAGCAACGCCGCGUGAGUGAUGAAGGUCUUCGGAUUGUAAAGCUCUGUCUUUUGGGACGAUAAUGACGGUACCAAAGGAGGAAGCCACGGCUAACUACGUGCCAGCAGCCGCGGUAAUACGUAGGUGGCGAGCGUUGUCCGGAUUUACUGGGCGUAAAGGGUGCGUAGGCGGAUGUUUAAGUGAGAUGUGAAAUACCCGGGCUUAACUUGGGUGCUGCAUUUCAAACUGGAUAUCUAGAGUGCAGGAGAGGAGAAUGGAAUUCCUAGUGUAGCGGUGAAAUGCGUAGAGAUUAGGAAGAACACCAGUGGCGAAGGCGAUUCUCUGGACUGUAACUGACGCUGAGGCACGAAAGCGUGGGUAGCAAACAGGAUUAGAUACCCUGGUAGUCCACGCCGUAAAACGAUGAGUACUAGGUGUAGGAGGUAUCGACCCCUUCUGUGCCGCAGUAAAACACAUUAAAGUACUCCGCCUGGGAAGUACGAUCGCAAGAUUAAAACUCU